UGUACACACCGCCCGUCGCUACUACCGAUUGAAUGGUCAUAGUGAGCAUAUGGGAUCACCCGUACCAGGAUGGCAACAUCCAGGUGUGGGGGAGAACUAUGGCAAACUAGAUUAUUUAGAGGAAGUAAAAGUCGUAACAAGGUUUCCGUAGGUGAACCUGCGGAAGGAUCAUUA
rnacentral:rRNA from 1 species